rnacentral:rRNA from 1 species
UACAGAGGUCUCAAGCGUUGUUCGGAUUCAUUGGGCGUAAAGAGCGCGUAGGCGGUCCGGUAAGUCCGCUGUGAAAGUCAAGGGCUCAACCCUUGAAUGCCGGUGGAUACUGUCGGGCUAGAGUCCGGAAGAGGCGAGUGGAAUUCCUGGUGUAGCGGUGAAAUGCGCAGAUAUCAGGAGGAACACCGAUGGCGAAGGCAGGUCUCUGGGCCAUAACUGACGCUGAGAAGCGAAAGCAUGGGGAGCGAACAGG